rnacentral:rRNA from 1 species
UGAAUAAAGUCUGGGAAACUGCCUGAUGGAGGGGGAUAACUACUGGAAACGGUAGCUAAUACCGCAUAACGUCGCAAGACCAAAGAGGGGGACCUUCGGGCCUCUUGCCAUCAGAUGUGCCCAGAUGGGAUUAGCUAGUAGGUGGGGUAAUGGCUCACCUAGGCGACGAUCCCUAGCUGGUCUGAGAGGAUGACCAGCCACACUGGAACUGAGACACGGUCCAGACUCCUACGGGAGGCAGCAGUGGGGAAUAUUGCACAAUGGGCGCAAGCCUGAUGCAGCCAUGCCGCGUGUGUGAAGAAGGCCUUCGGGUUGUAAAGCACUUUCAGCGAGGAGGAAGGUGGUGAGCUUAAUACGCUCAUCAAUUGACGUUACUCGCAGAAGAAGCACCGGCUAACUCCGUGCCAGCAGCCGCGGUAAUACGGAGGGUGCAAGCGUUAAUCGGAAUUACUGGGCGUAAAGCGCACGCAGGCGGUUUGUUAAGUCAGAUGUGAAAUCCCCGGG